rnacentral:rRNA from 1 species
GAUCAACGCUGGCGGCAUGCCUAACACAUGCAAGUCGAACGCGAAAGUGGCUUCGGCCGCGAGUAGAGUGGCAAACGGGUGAGUAACGCGUGGGUGACCUGCCUUCGAGUGGGGGAUAACGUUUCGAAAGGAACGCUAAUACCGCAUAACAUCCUGUUCUUGAACGGAUGGAGAUCAAAGCCGGGGGUCGCAAGACCUGGCGCUUGGAGAGGGGCCCGCGUCCGAUUAGCUAGUUGGUGAGGUAACGGCCCACCAAGGCGACGAUCGGUAGCCGGCCUGAGAGGGCGGACGGCCACACUGGGACUGAGACACGGCCCAGACUCCUACGGGAGGCAGCAGUGGGGAAUUGUUCGCAAUGGGCGCAAGCCUGACGACGCAAUGCCGCGUGGAGGACGAAGAUUUUCGGAUCGUAAACUCCUGUCGAGCGGGAAGAACGGCCCGGGGCCCAACACGCCCUGGGAGUGACGGUACCGCUAAAGGAAGCCCCGGCUAACUCCGUGCCAGCAGCCGCGGUAAUACGGGGGGGGCAAGCGUUGUUCGGAAUUACUGGGCGUAAAGGGCGCGUAGGCGGCCUUCUAAGUCAGACGUGAAAUCCCUCGGCUUAACCGGGGAACUGCGUCUGAUACUGGAGGGCUUGGAUCCGGGAGAGGGAUGCGGAAUUCCAGGUGUAGCGGUGAAAUGCGUAGAUAUCUGGAGGAACACCGGUGGCGAAGGCGGCAUCCUGGACCGGCAUCGACGCUGAGGCGCGAAAGCCAGGGGAGCAAACGGGAUUAGAUACCCCGGUAGUCCUGGCCCUAAACGAUGAAUGCUUGGUGUGGCGGGUAUCGAUCCCUGCCGUGCCGGAGCUAACGCGUUAAGCAUUCCGCCUGGGGAGUACGGUCGCAAGGCUG